CCUACGGGGCGCAGCAGUGAGGAAUAUUGGUCAAUGGGCGCGAGCCUGAACCAGCCAAGUCGCGUGAGGGAGGACGGCCCUACGGUUUGUAAACCUCUUUUGCCGGGGAGCAACGGGCGUCAUGUGUGGCGCCACUGAGAGUACCCGGAGAAAAAGCAUCGGCUAACUCCGUGCCAGCAGCCGCGGUAAUACGGAGGUGGCGAGCGUUAUCCGGAUUUAUUGGGUUAAAAGGGGGCGUAGGCGGAUCGUUAAGUCAGUGGUAAAAUUGAGGGGCUAAAUCGCGUCCCGCAAUUGAUACUGGCGCUCUUGAGUGGAAGAGAAGUAUGCGGAAUGCGAGGUGUAGCGGUGAAAUGCAUAGAGAUCACGCAGAACCCCGAUUGCGAAGGCAGCAUGCCGGCUUCCGACUGACGCUGAAGCACGAAAGCGUGGGGAGCGAACAGGAUUAGAUACCCGUGUAGUC
rnacentral:rRNA from 1 species